CCUAAACCAAUAAAUUAAUUAGGCUCAGCAAUGGUUAUGAACAAGAGUAAUAAAGCAUGAAUUUAAGUACUCCAUGGACAUUGCAUUACUUGUAGUUGGGCCUUAAAAGCAUUUGCAAAGUUAAACCCCCCUUAAAUGAGUCCAAAAUGUUUCCAUUAAACAGAAGUUUCUAAUAAACCAUUAAAUCAAUUUUCAGAUACAUUUUUGAGACCUUGUUUACAGGUAUGAAUCACUGAAAAAUAACCAUGAAAUGACAAUUCUAAGAAACACAACAGACCUACUCAAGAACAUUUUUAGUAAUCAAUAAAAUGGAAAAAUAGGGACACAUCGCUUUUAUGUGCUGAUAGGAAAUGCAUUAACAUAUAGUGUUGAAUAUUCCCAAAUUAACCAACAUCCAAGCAUUGUUAGCUACAGAUUCAUAAACAACUUCCAAGUUUGUACACAAAAGAUGAUUUACCGAACUGUAGACAUACUUAGCAUCCAUGACAUGUUACUGUUCUACUGCUAGAGAUACAGACCUUCCCCAGAGGCGAGUUAGUUGAAGUAACAUCUCAGAAUCUGAUCUCUACAAAACAGUGUAUGGAAGGAAGAAUGCUGAAAAGCAGUUUUCCUCCAUUUACUAGUAGGAAGGGGUUGGAAAUAAUCAAAGUUGUAAAUAAGGCCUGUCUCAGUAGAAACUACAGAAUCAUUCUUACUGCCUUGAUUUCUCAAGCUGAGAGUUUCAAUGAAAUUAAGCUCUAUGCAGUAACAAGACAUCUCAUCUAAAUAUGCUUUUUUCAGACAACAGAGUAUGUGAAAUGACAGAUAAUUGGCAGCUGUUCCACAGCUCUUAUCACUAGUUCUUAGAAAAAGUUAACACAGCUUUUCAUAGAAGGGGAAGAAUUGUCAGCUGCUGAUCUUGCCCUCUCUUCUCCCCAUAACCACCCAAAAAGGAGGAAGAAACCCCAACCCACACACAAAACCCCCGAGUACUCCUUACAACCCACGAUGCACCAUUCUCAAUUGAGUUUUCCCAUGGAGAAUUCAAAAAUUAUGUUAACAUCAUGUUAUCAUCCAGAGGGACCUCGACAGGAUAAAGAGGUGGGCCUGUGUGAACCUUAUGAAGCUGAACAAGGCCAGUUUUCCACUAUAUGAAGAAUUUUACUUCAGUAUCAUUAAACAAAGGUUUUCAGGUGUGAACUCAAAUGGAGUCUCUGGAUUGUUUUCAGGACUAUCUCUAUGCUUCAAGAAAAGAAGAAAAACGUGUAAAAAUGGUUUGUUAGAAGAUUACUCAGGACAUAUUUACUGUUGUAAAAUACCUUCUCGUUACACAGUUACAGUUGGGCUGCUUGAAUAAAAACUAUGUACUCCCACAUAAAAAUGGCACAGUACUAAAGUGAUUCAAUAUAUUUGGAAAAGUUAUCAAAAAUAUUGAUAAUUAUUUCAUCACUCUUGAAAAUCAUUACCUAUUCCCAUUACUUCCUGAUAAAGAAAUUAUUUACUGAGAAAUACAUGAGCUUAUAUAUUGAGAAAAUGUAUGGUGCUGUUAUCACAAUACAUAUUUUUAACACUGUUAAUACAGUUUGAUAAUUAUGUUUAAAUUUAAAAUAGGCAGAGUAAGAAUGCUCUGGUUAAUACCCUAAAAAACAAGAGACUAAAACAACAGUUCAUUUUUUCCUUUACCAUGAAACAUUAAUUUUAAAAAAGCUCCACAAUUCAUCAAGAAGUUUGUUGUAGAAUUAAAACAUAUGCACAUUCAAACACAUUAUUAAUCCAUUUUUAUAUAUUAUUUUGAUUUGUAAUGAAUUUCAACAUUUUCAUUUUAUAUACAAUUCUGAAUCAAAAUGUAAGAAGCAGAAUUCUGAAUUAGUAUUUCCAAAAUAAGGUAUUCUAAUAAGUUAUUUUUAAGGUGGCCUUCUAGGGAAACAUCAAAUUUUAAUUAUUUCUUCUAUAUUCAGAAAAUACAGAUUUGGAGGUAUUGAAAAAAGUAACAUUUUCCUGUAGUAAAAUCUUAGUUCUGAUGAAAAUCCUUUUCCACCAGAAAACAUUCCUGCACAGGAUUUUUUUGCUGUCUCUAAGCAGCUCAUUUUGGUUUCUUUUAAAUACCUAUAGUUAAGUUUAAUUCCAAACUUCAUAUGAUUUUCAAAUUGAGAAAAUUGCAAAUCAAAGGGAAAGUUUGUGGGAAAAUACAAGCUAUACUUGAGGCUUGAUGUUAAAAGUAAUUCACGACUAGCCAAUAAUAAAAGCUUUAGAAGUGUAUUUAGAACAAAUAGCCCCCUCCACUGACUUCCACUUCCAUCAUUUCCUCCAGUAACUGAGGGUGAUUUUGCAGUUGCCACACUAUACUCUUCUUACUAAGCAGCAAAGGAUUUAAUGAAAACCUUAGCACUGCCAAGACCCUUGCAUACUGAACUGAAGUUUGUAUCAUCAGUGAAGAACUUAGAACAUGUGUGGUCCACAGCUAUUCUCAGAUUUAGAAAUUUUAAUAUGGAAAUAUUGCAAGUGCAAAUACUUCAAUUACAUCUGUUGGUCUGUCCAGGGAUUACCUUUGCUUAGUUUGAAAGCAUUGUGCUCUCACCACAGUUUCAAGUCCAAUAUAAAACUACCUUUGAUAAAUACUUCACCAAGGAUGACUUUCCUAUAAGAACAGGAAUUACACAAAGAUGAAUGAUGCCCUUUGAACACACUAGUAUUUUAUUUAGUGUUAAUUUCUUGCUUAUUGUGUGUUUUACAACAUAAAAGAGCUUUUAGGAACAUGAUUCCAUCAAACAGGAUUUGAUGACUCAUAUUUAGUCUUGGUGAGUGUCUUCUACCAAUUUUAUUGGUAGAAAAAGAGUUAAAAUAGCUCUCAAAAAGAGGCUGAUGGAGAGAAGACUGAUUGGAAAUACUGGACAACUUUUAAUAUUUUUUCCCCUUACAGAUCUUUCCAUGUCUUAGCUGCACAGAUCAAUUCCAUAAUUCAUGAUAACUAUUUCCAUAACUUAGCUUUUCCUUCUCAAAUCUGCAUGCCUAUUUUGCUGUUAUUUUGAUUUCCAUAGCUAUUUGAUAGUUAGAGAUUGUACUUCAUCUCAAUUGCUUUUGCAAAUAAAUGUAUUUGAUUUAUUCAAAAUUCCCUCUUUGUCUGGAGCAGCUGUUCUUUUUAUCAUCUCUAAACUGAUAUCUUUAAAUGCCCUACAUGUGAAGAGGAAUAAUAAAGCCUUUAUAUUGGAAAAUGCA